GAUGUGGGUUUGGGCUUACAGGCUCUGCAUUCUUCUCUCUCUGUUAUCCAGUCUGUCAGACUGUGCCCAGGUUAAGCAGCCAUCAGAUCUGAUUGCAAAUCUCAAUGAUAAAGUUCACAUCUCCUGUCAACAUAAUGACGACAAUUUAGAAGUCAUGUUGUGGUAUCAGCAAAGGACGGAAAGUGCAACUAUGGCUUUGAUCGGCUAUAGUUAUGCUACAGCUCCACCAAACAAUGAAGCUGGAUACCCAGCUACACGGUUCAAACAGAGCAAGACUAACACUGUAACUGGAGACCUGACCAUCUCUAAUCUCACCCUGUCAGAUUCUGCUGUGUAUUACUGUGCUGCCAAAACUACACAGUGCUUGUGUUUCAUCACCUGCCUGACUUAA